UACGUAGGGUCCGAGCGUUGUCCGGAAUUACUGGGCGUAAAGAGCUCGUAGGUGGUUUGUCGCGUUGUUCGUGAAAACUCACAGCUCAACUGUGGGCGUGCGGGCGAUACGGGCAGACUAGAGUACUGCAGGGGAGACUGGAAUUCCUGGUGUAGCGGUGGAAUGCGCAGAUAUCGGGAGGAACACCAGUAGCGAAGGCGGCACUCUGGGCCGUGACUGACGCUGAGGAGCGAAAGCGUGGGUAGCAAACAGG
rnacentral:rRNA from 1 species